AGCUGACAUUUUCCAUGCUGGAUGAACUUUUGGUCAGUCCCCAGGCUUCUGCAACACUCCUGAAAUAUGUGAUUAUAUGACACACUAUCCCCAGAGGCAAUAGAAAUAACCACAAGCCCAAAAGGAAACCUUGGUUUUGUUUUAUUGAUUGUGACAGCACUCAUUCAUACUCUAAGAAUUUGUUACAGACUUUCUUUUUCUUUCUAUUUUUUUGUCUAAUGCAUUGUUACUUUAAAAAUUGAGGAUUUCAGUUUAGUAAAACACAUGAAAACAAAGCUAGGAAUUUUUCUAUAAAGUUUCUUGCUUGUCCUUUGGUAGCUUUUGUGGGAUGUAAAUGUAUCAUUGGAGUGAAAGCACUUCUGCAGGAAAAGAAACAGAAUCAAGCUCAUGUGCUGGAAUACCAUUUAAUUUUUCAGUUGCUACAUGGUCAGUUUUUCAAUCAGUCCAUUAGUUGCCACAGUCAUCUGUGGCCAUAGAAACUGUUCAAAAUGGUCUUUCUUUGCAUGUCAGACCAUUGCUAGGGUUAUUAAGGAAAGAUAUAUAGUCUUUCACCUUGCUAUUUUUAUUUUUUUUAAUAGAAUCAGCUCAUAAAGCUGGUAAGUCUUGGAAAAACUCCACAUUUGAGCUCCAUGAGAUUUUUUGUAUGGAGGAUUUUUGUUAAACUGAUAGUUAGGGAAGGGUCCUACAGCUGACCAGAAGGAAGAGCACCAAAGCACAAGGAAGCAAGCAAGGCAAAAUAUAUGGAGAGUAUAAGGCAAUAUCAAGUGAAUAACUAAUGCCCAACAGAACCACAUAUUCAGAAUUAAGUUUAAAAAGGGAGCUGGUUCUAAUGUACUCAACUCUAUAUGUUGAUGUAAGUUGGAAUCAGAAUAUACCAGUCAGUCUUAACAGCUUGCUAAGACUUACGAUUCUUUCAUUUAAUGCCUUGCGGAUGACUGUGUGCGUUGGGGAGAUGAGCUCUCAUUUUUCAACUGUUUAUGAAGAACCAGAGAGGCAGAAAGCCUCAGUGCUCACAACAUUUCAGAAAAAGGUACAGUUACCCUAGCAACAAGCCCUCUAUGAAUGGCUUCAGUACAAAUAAGCUAUUUGGCUGUGAUAUAUGUAUCAGAAAAUGUCUGGAAACAUUAUGGAUUUGAAACCACUAUCUGAAGAUGAGAGUUAGUCUUGGAGUAUUCCUGAUGUGGCAAGAUGUAGAGGUGUGUUUCUUGCACUUCCCUGUUCUGAAAACACACUCUUCAGUAAUGAACUUGAGAAGUGCCUUUUGAACUGUGUGUUCUUUCUGGUCUUCAUUAUGCAGUUGAGGCUCUAAGAAGAGAACAGGCAGCCACAGCCCUUGUUGAUAAGCACCUACUAAGCCCAACUUUGUGAUGUUUAAUGUUGAUAGUGUAAUAAAAGAGUAAAAACAGUGAAAACUAAAACUGCGGAUUACAUCCAGAGGCUGGAGAUCACUGGUGUAGUUGCUAAUUAUUUUAAUUAACUUUAUAUCAUACCAUAUAAAUGUUUUGCUU
rnacentral:lncRNA from 7 species